rnacentral:rRNA from 1 species
UAGGAUGUGGCUGCGGCCGAUUAGGUAGACGGUGGGGUAACGGCCCACCGUGUCAGUAAUCGGUACGGGUGAUGAGAGUCAGAGCCCGGAGACGGUAUCUGAGACAAGAUACCGGGCCCUACGGGGCGCAGCAGGCGCGAAACCUUUACACUGCACGACAGUGCGAUAGGGAGACUCCAAGUGCGAGGGCAUACAGUCCUCGCUUUUGUACACCGUAAGGUGGUGUACGAAUAAGAACUGGGCAAGACCGGUGCCAGCCGCCGCGGUAAUACCGGCAGUUCGAGUGAUGGCCGAUAUUAUUGGGCCUAAAGCGUUCGUAGCUGGCCAAUCAAGUCUGUCGGGAAAUCCACGCGCCCAACGCGUGGGCGUCCGGCGGAAACUAGUUGGCUUGGGACCGGAAGACUCGAGGAGUACGUCCGGGGUAGGAGUGAAAUCCCGUAAUCCUGGACGGACUCACCGAGUGGCGAAAGCAGCCUCGAGAGACACGGAUCCGACAGUGAGGAACGAAAGCCGGGGUCUCGAACCGGAUUAGAUACCCGGGUAGUCCCAGCUCGUCAACGAUGCUCCGCUAGGUAGUGGCACGGGCUACGAGCCUGUCGCUAUGCCGCAGCGAAGGCCGCUAAGCGGGCCGCCUGGGAAGUACGUCUGCAAGGAUGAAACUAAAGAAUGGC